rnacentral:rRNA from 1 species
AGCAGCCGCGGUAAUUCCAGCUCCCAAUAGCGUAUACUAAAGUUGUUGCGGUUAAAAAGCUCGUAGUUGGAUCUUGGAAUGUGUUCAAGCGGGUCAGCUUCUGGCUGUGCGCUGCUUGACGUGUUCUUCUAUUUGGUUUUGGUGCGGUGCGCUUAACUGCGUGUCGCUCCCGGCCGAAACGUUUACCUUGAAAAAAUUAGAGUGUUCAAAGCAGACCUGUUUGAGUCUGAAUAUUCGUGCAUGGAAUAAUGAAAUAUGAAUUCGGUUCUAUUUUGUUGGUUUUCGGAACUCGAGUUAAUGAUCAAGAGGGACAGACGGGGGCAUUCGUACUCUGCCGUUAGAGGUGAAAUUCUUGGAUCGGCGGAAGACGCGCAACUGCGAAAGCAUUUGCCAAGAAUGUUUUCUUUAAUCAAGAACGAUAGUCGGAGGUUCGAAGACGAUCAGAUACCGUCCUAGUUUCGACUGUAAACUAUGCCAGCUAACGAUCAGACAGAGUUCUCUACGACUUGUCUGGCAGUUUCCGGGAAACCAAAGCGUUUGGGUUCCGGGGGAAGUAUGGUUGCAAAGCUGAAACUUAAAGGAAUUGACGGAAGGGCACCACCAGGAGUGGAGCCUGCGGCUUAAUUUGACUCAACACGGGGAAACUCACCCGGCCCGGACACAGUGAGGAUUGACAGAUUGAGAGUUCUUUCUUGAUUCUGUGGGUGGUGGUGCAUGGCCGUUCUUAGUUGGUGGAGCGAUUUGUCUGGUUAAUUCCGAUAACGAACGAGACUCUGGCAUGUUAAAUAGUCGCGGAAGUGCGUAUGCACUUGCCGAAUUGACUUCUUAGAGGGACUAGUGAUUUUAAUUCACACGAGAUUGAGCAAUAACAGGUCUGUGA